rnacentral:rRNA from 1 species
CAGCCGCCGCGGUAAUACGUAGGUCCCGAGCGUUGUCCGGAUUUAUUGGGCGUAAAGCGAGCGCAGGCGGUUAGAUAAGUCUGAAGUUAAAGGCUGUGGCUUAACCAUAGUACGCUUUGGAAACUGUUUAACUUGAGUGCAAGAGGGGAGAGUGGAAUUCCAUGUGUAGCGGUGAAAUGCGUAGAUAUAUGGAGGAACACCGGUGGCGAAAGCGGCUCUCUGGCUUGUAACUGACGCUGAGGCUCGAAAGCGUGGGGCGCAAACAGGAUUAGAUACCCCUGUAGUGCCUGUCUCUUAUACA